ACUCUGAGGAAACUGUUUGUAAAAUAUGCGGACUUAGCGAGGAGAUGCGGUGCAAGUGUGGAGUGUUGCCUUAGCGACUGAAGACAGCCAGCCAAAGCGCGGGGUACUACCAGGACGAAACCAGCAGCCAACGGGCAAAAAUUCCGCUGCUGGGCGCGCCGCAGGGAAAGGGGCGGGGCCACGCGUCACCCCCCCCCCCGGCCUUUUAUGACGUAGGGCAAUGCCUGCCACGCGUCGAAACUAGGCUGCCGGUGCGGCCACACCGCGCGACUGACACGCAUGAGGGAACGCGGUGGUCAUCUGGGGCCGACUCUCGGAAUCAUGCAUUUCUUAUUUAGGUUAAUCAUUUUCUUUUACCUGUGGGGCAUUUUUACUGCUCAGGGACAAAAGGCAGAGGAGAGCAUAGAGGAAGUGAAAAUAGAAGUUUUGCAUCGUCCAGAAAACUGUUCUAACACAAGCAAAAAGGGAGACCUGCUAAAUGCCCAUUACGACGGCUUCUUGGCUAAAGACGGCUCGAAAUUCUACUGCAGCCGGACAGAAAAUGAAGGCCACCCCAAAUGGUUUGUUCUUGGUGUUGGACAAGUCAUAAAAGGCCUAGACAUUGGGAUGACCGAUAUGUGUCCUGGCGAGAAGCGAAAAUUGAUUAUACCCCCUUCAUUUGCAUAUGGAAAGGAAGGCUAUGGUAGUACUUGAAGAAGUCUUUUCCUGUGCGCAAUAUCUUUGCCUAAUGUCACAGAGCACCCCUGCAUGUCUUGAAAUGCAUGUGAUUUGUUAGUGCUUUAAUUAACAGUACAUGUGGGGAGACAGGUUAGAGCCCUGGUCCAGGAAGAUCCCACGUGCCGCAGAGCAGCUAAGCCUGUGCGCCACAACUACUGAGCCUGCGCUCUAGAGCCGGCGAGCCACAACUACUGAGCCCACGUGUCACAACUACUGAAGCCCACGUGCCUAGACCCCGUGCUCUGCAACAAGAGAAGCCACUGCAAUGAGAAGCCUGCACACCGCAAUGAAGAGUAGCCCCCGCUCGCCGCAACUAGAGAAAUCCCACGCGCAGCAACGAAGACCCAAUGCAGCCAAAAAUAAAUAAAUUUU